CGGACGGGUGAGUAAUGUCGUGGGAAACUGCCUGAUGGAGGGGGAUAACUACUGGAAACGGUAGCUAAUACCGCAUAACGUCGCAAGACCAAAGAGGGGGACCUUAGGGCCUCUUGCCAUCGGAUGUGCCCAGAUGGGAUUAGCUAGUAGGUGGGGUAACGGCUCACCUAGGCGACGAUCCCUAGCUGGUCUGAGAGGAUGACCAGCCACACUGGAACUGAGACACGGUCCAG
rnacentral:rRNA from 1 species